GUUUCUGUAGUGUAGUGGUCAUCACGUUCACCUCACGUGCGAAAGGUCCUGGUUCAAACACCAGGCAGAAACA